rnacentral:misc_RNA from 1 species
GAUGAAGAACGUAGCGAAAUGCGAUACGUAAUGUGAAUUGCAGAAUUCAGUGAAUCAUCGAGUCUUUGAACGCACAUUGCGCCCCCUGGUAUUCCGGGGGGCAUGCCUGUUCGAGCGUCAUUACAACCCUCAAGCUCUGCUUGGUAUUGGGCCCCGCCAGUUCUGGCGGGCCCUAAAGUCAGUGGCGGUGCCUUCCGGCUCCGAGCGUAGUAAUUCUUCUCGCUCUGGAGACCCGGUUGUGUGCUUGCCAACAACCCCCAAUUUUUUAAGGUUGACCUCGGAUCAGGUAGGGAUACCCGCUGAACUUAAGCAUAUCAAUAAGCGGAGGA